rnacentral:tRNA from 1 species
UCCUCGAUAGUAUAGUGGUGAGUAUCCCCGCCUGUCACGCGGGGAGACCGGGGGUUCGAUUCCCCGUCGGGGAG